rnacentral:rRNA from 1 species
UAGGGAAUCUUCGGCAAUGGACGAAAGUCUGACCGAGCAACGCCGCGUGAGUGAAGAAGGUUUUCGGAUCGUAAAACUCUGUUGUUAGAGAAGAACAAGGACGUUAGUAACUGAACGUCCCCUGACGGUAUCUAACCAGAAAGCCACGGCUAACUACGUGCCAGCAGCCGCGGUAAUACGUAGGUGGCAAGCGUUGUCCGGAUUUAUUGGGCGUAAAGCGAGCGCAGGCGGUUUCUUAAGUCUGAUGUGAAAGCCCCCGGCUCAACCGGGGAGGGUCAUUGGAAACUGGGAGACUUGAGUGCAGAAGAGGAGGGUGGAAUUCCAUGUGUAGCGGUGAAAUGCGUAGUUAUAUGGAGGAACACCAGUGGCGAAGGCGGCUCUCUGGUAUGUAACUGACGCUGAGGCUCGAAAGCGUGGGGAGCAAACAGG